rnacentral:rRNA from 1 species
CUCAAAGAUUAAGCCAUGCAUGUCUAAGUAUAAGCAAUCAUACUGUGAAACUGCGAAUGGCUCAUUAAAUCAGUUAUCGUUUAUUUGAUAGUACCUUUACCUGGAUAACCGUGGUAAUUCUAGAGCUAAUACAUGCUAAAAAUCCCGACUUCGGAAGGGAUGUAUUUAUUAGAUAAAAAACCAAUGCCCUUCGGGGCUCCUUGGUGAUUCAUAAUAACUUAACGAAUCGCAUGGCCUUGCGCCGGCGAUGGUUCAUUCAAAUUUCUGCCCUAUCAACUUUCGAUGGUAGGGUAGUGGCUUACCAUGGUCUCAACGGGUAACGGGGAAUUAGGGUUCUAUUCCGGAGAGGGAGCCUGAGAAACGGCUACCACAUCCAAGGAAGGCAGCAGGCGCGCAAAUUACCCAAUCCCAAUUCGGGGAGGUAGUGACAAUAAAUACUGAUACAGGGCUUCUUUCGGGUCUUGUAAUUGGAAUGAGUACAAUCUAAAUCCCUUAACGAGGAACAAUUGGAGGGCAAGUCUGGUGCCAGCACACACA